rnacentral:ncRNA from 1 species
AUCAAAGCGAUGAACAAGAGUAGUAAUUAGACGGAUAAUCCUAGAGAACUGAUGGAUGGUGUAAAUCAGUAUUAGAUAUCUAAUGAACGUGCUUGGGAGCCUUUAGGCAUGUUCUAAAACAUUUAGUAAGUCUAAACGUAUCAGGCGUUAACGAUAAUAAGCUAGAUAUCUUUUUAUCUAGAAUUAAGGUGGUACCACGGAUAUUAAAUUCGUCCUUAGC